rnacentral:rRNA from 1 species
AUUGAACGCUGGCGGCAGGCCUAACACAUGCAAGUCGAGCGAGCGGCGGACGGGUGAGUAAUGUAUGGGGACUGCCCGAUAGAGGGGGAUAACUACUGGAAACGGUGGCUAAUACCGCAUACUAUCGGAUAACCCAUAGGGGAUUAGCUAGUAGGUUGGGUAAUGGCUCACCUAGGCGACGAUCCCUAGCUGGUCUGAGAGGAUGAUCAGCCACACUGGGACUGCGAGACUGACCAGACUCCUACGGAGGAAGCAGGGGGGAAGAUUGCACAAUGGGCGAAAGCCUGAUUCAGCCAUGCCGCGUGGAUGAAGAAGGCCAUAGGGUUGUAAAGUACUUACCGUCGGGAGGCGUUACCGACAGAAGAAGCACCGGCUAACUCCGUGCCAGCCGCCGCGGUAAUUC